AAAGGUGUAAUAGAGAGAGGGUAGAUAUAGGGGUGAAACGACAGAGUCCAGCCGUGCAGGCUUUUUUGACACUAUUGCAGCGUAUGUCUGCAAAGGCUUCAAUGCCGUCACCCUGCAGUGCUGGGAAAAGGGCUUCGUCUGAACCAGAGAGCCAACUGAAUAAAGACUCAGAGUCCUGCCUUCAGGCUAUCUCCAGUGGAACCCAGAGCAUGUCUGCAGAGCUGGCAAUGACUUCAAAGAGUCCCCACGGAGAAAAGGAGCCCCUGGCAUCCAGAUUACUCCCUGCAAAGGAUCUCAACGAUCACAGGUCUGAGCGUGUGAAACACGAAGGAUUAAAAGGAUCCACCCAUGGGCAAGCAAGCAAGCAAACACAAAGCCGAGACACCCUGAAGAGCAACAGUAAGAUGAAACACCUUUUCAACAAAACAACCGUUGAGGAUGUCAUACACCCCAAAGCUGAGACUACGUUUUCCUUCCUGGCAAGUACUGACACUGUCCCACAUGUUCCCACACUGUCCCACAUGUUCCCACACGUGAUAUAGGCUCACUGUACAGUGAAUCUGAAGAAGAGCAAGAGGCAAAUGAUAACCUCUUUUACCUCAGGCUCCUUUCAGGGCACAUUUAGAGAGGCAUGGCAAGUUUCUCGGUCAAGCUCAGCGUUCAGCUGCUUUUCUCACCCGUUCACAUUUAAGCACAUCAACAGUUUCACCUGUUGGUCAUCAUGGAUACCGUGUUGGUCCUUUCCUGGAGCAAACAUGGCGUCACUGUUAUCUACCAUUCACAAACUCAAUGUAAAUGUGCUGUAUUUAUAUAGCGCUUUUCUAGUCUUAACGACUACUCAAAGCGCUUUUACAUCUACAGGAAACAUUCACCAUUCACACAUUGUGGCCAGGACUGGCGUACAAGGUGCUACCUGCUCAUCAGAUAAACACUCACACACAUUCACACUCCGAUGCGCAGCACCGGGGGCAACUCGGGGUUCAGUGUCUUGCCCAAGGACACUUCGACGUGGGACUGCAGGGCCAGGGAUUGAACCGCCAACUUUCCGAUUGGCAGGCAACCGCUCUACCACUGAGCCACGGCCGCCUACAAUAUGGGUUUUGUAGGCCACGUGAGUAGCACCCAGAGGACACACCAACAUCUCCAUGAGUUUCAAAGCAGCUGGCCAAGUAUUGCCUCUUCACGCAGGACUUCUGUCGGCUUCUGUUCUGCUAGGCUUGCUGAGAAGCACCACUGUACCCCUGACUUCAAAUCAAAGUCUUCUAAUGAGUCCUGCUGUCUAAGAGCCUCUGGACAGGUAGAUGAUCUGGAUGUGGAUGAAAUAACGACGUGUAGUGAUAUCAAAGAGCGAGUACCCAGUCAGGAAUGUCAAGAAGCCCAGGAAGGAGCUACUGCUGCCCAAAAGAGCAGCAAAGAGACUGUGUGCAGACCCAAACAAAGGUUGUUACAUGAGUCAUCUGAUGAGGAAGAAGGGGAGCCAUGUCGGAUCUGCCACAGUGGCGAGAGUUCACCAACCAGCCCACUGAUGUCACCGUGCCUGUGUUCAGGCAGUAUGCCGUUUGUUCACCUCAACUGCCUGAAGAAAUGGAUUAGGACAAAAGUCAGGGUCAGGGCCCUAUACUGUCAAAACAUGUGAACUUUGUAUAGGGAGGCUGACACUGGACCCGGUUACACUUCACUUGGACAAUUACUACAGAGAACAUCUGCAACAGAUGGUGGCCAACCCUGACCUGUAUAAUCUCGAUGAUGUGUUAGGAAUGGUAAUGCUGCCAAGACCUGUGCACGUUCCGAUAUGGUCAUUACUUCCCAACCUAAGGAGAAGACUCCAAAGAAUCAGAGGGAGUAGGAACCCGUCACCACAAGAGACAUCUGACACUUGAUCCUCAGCUGUACUCUUUUUUUUCUCCCACAUCUUUGCUGAUGUGGAACUAAACACACACGUUUUACAAUAAACCACUAUGCAUCUAA